AUUGAACGCUGGCGGCGUGCUUAACACAUGCAAGUCGAUCGGUAACAGGUGUAGCAAUACAUGCUGACGAGAGGCGGACGGGUGAGGAAUAUUUGGGAAUCUGCCCAUCAGCGGGGGACAACCCGGGGAAACUCGGGCUAAUACCGCAUACGCUCUACGGAGGAAAGCCGGGGACCGCAAGGCCUGGCACUGAUGGAUGAGCCCAAAUCGGAUUAGCUAGUUGGCGGGGUAACGGCCCACCAAGGCGACGAACCGUAGCUGGUCUGAGAGGACGAUCAGCCACACCGGAACUGAGACACGGUCCGGACUCCUACGGGAGGCAGCAGUGGGGAAUAUUGGACAAUGGGGGAAACCCUGAUCCAGCGACGCCGCGUGGGUGAAGAAGGCCUGCGGGUUGUAAAGCCCUUUCGGUAGGGAAGAAAUCUCUUGUCUUAACACGGCAAGGGUUUGACUUAACCUACAUAAGAAGCACCGGCUAACUCUGUGCCAGCCGCCGCCGUAAAAC
rnacentral:rRNA from 1 species